rnacentral:misc_RNA from 1 species
AACGCAAAUUGCGCUUCUCUCCGGAGGAGCACGUCUGUUUGAGCAUCAUUAAGCAACCACUCACAGUGUUAUUCUUUUUUUUUUUUCUUUCAUUGAAAUAAAGAGAAACGUUUGUGGAUUCUGAAUCUUAUUUUCCUUUUGCAAAUUCGGCCGAGAUACGUGUUUCCUCUUUUCUUUUUUUCGAUCUCAUUCUCAAUUUAGUAUUUAAAUCUGAGGAGAGGAAAAAGAAAAACUAAACAUUGUAUUAUCAAACAGUAUGUUUGAACAAUGCAAAUUUGAUCUCAAAUCAGGUGAGACUACCCGCUGAACUUAA